UGGGGGAUAUUGCACAAUGGGCGAAAGCCUGAUGCAGCGACGCCGCGUGGGGGAUGAAGGCUUUCGGGUUGUAAACCUCUUUCGCUAUCGAACAAGGCCCGCUUAGGGUGGGUUGAGGGUAGGUGGAGAAGAAGCGCCGGCUAACUACGUGCCAGCAGCCGCGGUAAUACGUAGGGCGCGAGCGUUGUCCGGAAGUAUUGGGCGUAAAGGGCUUGUAGGCGGCUUGUUGCGCCUGCUGUGAAAACGCGGGGCUUAACUUCGCGCGUGCAGUGGGUACGGGCAGGCUUGAGUGUGGUAGGGGUGACUGGAAUUCCAGGUGUAGCGGUGGAAUGCGCAGAUAUCUGGAGGAACACCGAUGGCGAAGGCAGGUCACUGGGCCAUUACUGACGCUGAGGAGCGAAAGCAUGGGUAGCGAACAGG
rnacentral:rRNA from 2 species